rnacentral:rRNA from 1 species
UGCCAGACUCCUACGGGAGGCAGCAGUGGGGGAUAUUGCACAAUGGGGGAAACCCUGAUGCAGCGACGCCGCGUGAGUGAAGAAGUAUUUCGGUAUGUAAAGCUCUCUCAGCAGGGAAGAAGAUGACAGUACCUGAGUAAGAAGCCCCGGCUAACUACGUGCCAGCAGCCGCGGUAAUACGUAGGGGGCAAGCGUUAUCCGGAUUUACUGGGUGUAAAGGGAGCGUAGACGGUUAUGUAAGUCUGGAGUGAAAGCCCGGGGCCCAACCCCGGGACUGCUUUGGAAACUGUGUAACUAGAGUACAGGAGGGGCAGGCGGAAUUCCUGGUGUAGCGGUGAAAUGCGUAGAUAUCAGGAGGAACACCGGCGGCGAAGGCGGCUUACUGGACGGCAACUGACGUUGAGGCCCGAAAGCGUGGGGAGCGAACAGGAUUAGAUACCCGGGUAU